UACGUAGGUGGCAAGCGUUGUCCGGAUUUACUGGGCGUAAAGAGCGCGCAGGCGGUCGGAUCAGUCGAAUGUGAAAGCCCCCGGCUCAACUGGGGAGGGUCAUUCGAUACUGUCCGACUCGAAGGCAGGAGAGGGAAGCGGAAUUCCCGGUGUAGUGGUGAAAUGCGUAGAUAUCGGGAGGAACACCAGUGGCGAAGGCGGCUUUCUGGCCUGUUCUUGACGCUGAGGAGCGAAAGCGUGGGGAGCGAACAGG
rnacentral:rRNA from 1 species